rnacentral:tRNA from 1 species
UCCCAAGUGGCUCAGUGGUAAAGAAUCUGCCUGCAAUGCAGAAGACCUGGGUUCGAUCCCUGGGUUGGGAA